UCGAGCAAGAAGACGAUGGAGAUCAACCCGGAGAACGCCAUCAUGGAGGAGUUGCGCAAGCGCGCCGACGCUGACAAGAACGACAAGUCUGUCAAGGACCUGGUGAUGCUGCUGUUCGAGACCUCCCUGCUCACCUCUGGAUUCAGCCUCGACGACCCCAACACCUUCGGCACCAGGAUCCACCGCAUGCUCAAGCUGGGCCUGAGCAUCGACGAGGACGAGGAGGCUGCUGAGGCUGACACGGACAUGCCGCCGC
rnacentral:lncRNA from 1 species